CCGUGAGAGCGGGAGCCCGGAGAUGGUCCCUGAGGCAAGGGUCCAGGCCCUACGGGGCGCAGCAGGCGCGAAAACUCCGCAAUGCGCGAAAGCGUGACGGGGUCACCCCGAGUGCCACCUGCAGAAGGUGGCUUUUCCUCGGUGUAAUAAGCCGUGGGAAUAAGGGGAGGGCAAGCCUGGUGUCAGCCGCCGCGGUAAUACCAGCUCCCCGAGUGGUGAGGACGAUUAUUGGGCCUAAAGCAUCCGUAGCCGGUCUGGUAAGUUUUCCGUUAAAUCUGGCGAUCCAAUCGUCAGACUGCGGGAAAUACUGUCAGACUAGGAGGCGGAAGAGGCCGACGGUACUCUUAGGGUAGGGGUGAAAUCCUAUAAUCCUGAGAGGACCACCAGUGGCG
rnacentral:rRNA from 1 species